rnacentral:rRNA from 1 species
GAUGAACGCUGGCGGCGUGCCUAAUACAUGCAAGUCGAGCGAAUGGAUUAAGAGCUUGCUCUUAUGAAGUUAGCGGCGGACGGGUGAGUAACACGUGGGUAACCUGCCCAUAAGACUGGGAUAACUCCGGGAAACCGGGGCUAAUACCGGAUAACAUUUUGAACCGCAUGGUUCGAAAUUGAAAGGCGGCUUCGGCUGUCACUUAUGGAUGGACCCGCGUCGCGUUAGCUAGUUGGUGAGGUAACGGCUCCCCAAGGCAACGAUGCGUAGCCGACCUGGGAGGGUGAGCGACCACGCUGGGACUGAGACACGGCCCAGACUCCUACGGGAGGCAGCAGUAGGGAAUCUUCCGCAAUGGACGAAAGUCUGACGGAGCAACGCCGCGUGAGUGAUGAAGGCUUUCGGGUCGUAAAACUCUGUUGUUAGGGAAGAACAAGUGCUAGUUGAAUAAGCUGGCACCUUGACGGUACCUAACCAGAAAGCCACGGCUAACUACGUGCCAGCAGCCGCGGUAA